rnacentral:ncRNA from 1 species
AAUAACGCGUAGAGAUGGAAAGUACAUACGAAAAGCAUCAGACAGAGAGCCUGUGAAAGCUGAGAACAGGCGGUGAAGGACGUAUGGAAAAUGGCCAUUGAGCAGCGCUCCGAGUGGAGAAAUCCAUAAGGCGGCGACGGGGGCACCCGUUAUCGUGCUAGAGUAUAAACAGCGAUUUAGCUGUCGUACUUGAUAAGUGUAUUUAUGUGAAUAAAUACUGAAGUGAGGUGGUAACACGCAGAAGGCGUCCUCAAG